rnacentral:rRNA from 1 species
CUCUUUAAAGGAUAAUGCGGUUUUUGGAAAGUUUCAAUACUUUUAGUUAACAUUAUC